GAAAUGCGAUAAGUAGUGUGAAUUGCAGAAUUCAGUGAAUCAUCGAAUCUUUGAACGCACAUUGCGCCCUUUGGUAUUCCUUAGGGCAUGCCUGUUCGAGCGUCAUCUAAACCUUCAAGCCCUGCUUGGUGUUGGGUGCCUGUCCCGCCUCCGCCGCGCGCCUCAAAUCGACCGGCUGGGUCUUUCGUCCCCUCAGCGUUGUGGAAACUAUUCGCUAAAGGGUGCCGCGGGAGGCCACGCCGUAAAACAACCCCAUUUCUAAGGUUGACCUCGGAUCAGGUAGGGAUACCCGCUGAACUUAAGC
rnacentral:misc_RNA from 1 species